GUCAAUAUAGGCUUACAAAGAGGUUGAAUUUUGCUACAUAUGUUAUUUUAACUAAUAAAUGAAUAUGUACCUAUUGAUUCUUGACAAAUAUAAUUUAAAUGCCUAAUGAGCAUAUUUAAACCGAUAUACCCUAUCAGAACCAAAAAUGUAACCUUUCACUGUAAUACCUUGGAUGUCCAGUCCUUGCAUCAGUAAUGAUUUAUUUUUAAACUGUCUGGGGGUAAUGCUUUAUUGCUGUUUUUACUGUUGCCAUAAGUGUACAAUGUACUGUAUGUACCUAUACAUUUUUCACACACUCACUGGCUACUAUUAGGUAUAACUAUCUAGUUUUGUGUAGGACUAGCUUUUGCCUCCACUUCAAGGUUUUUUGUGUUGUGUUCAGAGAUGCCUCUGUGCACCAAAAUUGUAAGGAGUGGUUAUUUGAGUGUUUUAUGCCCUUUCUGUCAGCUUGCAAUAGUCUGGCCGUUCUCGGAUCUCUUAUUUACUAAAUGUUUUUGGCCACAGAACUGCUGCUGAUGGGAUGUUUUUGUAUGUUGCACCAUUCUCUGUGAACUAAAGAGACUGUGGUGUGUGAAAAUCCUAGGAGUUCAGCUGUGUUUGAGUUGCUGGAACCACCACUCCAACAAUCAUACCAUGGUCAGAGUCGCUCGGGUCAAGUGUUUUGAUGAUCUACAACUAAACCUAUUGACCAUGUCUUAAUGCUUUGUAUAUUGAAUUGCAGCCAUGCUAUUUGCUGUUGGGCUAUUUGUGUUAACAAGCAGGCGUGCCUAAUAAAGUGGCCGGCGAGUGUAUGUAUGUUUGUGUCGUGCUAGUGCCAAAUGAUCAGUGCUAGGGUACUGCUCCUCUGCUCAGGUGAUGCAUCGACUUAUUGCUGCGUCCCACGUUAGCAACCAUUCGGUUGGGCACCUGAUCAUUACAUAAUGGACUUUGUGGUUACAUACCUACCCAUGUUUUGUCAUGAGUUAACAACAUUGGAGCAGGGAAAAAAACUGUCUAACACAGUGGUGUUUAUAAAUGCAUAUGGCAGAGUCCUUUCUGCGAUCUGAUUGAAGCCUUUAUGAUGUUGCAGAAUGACAAUGGCUACAACAUUGGAUCAGUGGAUUCCUCAUCUAGUUUGCUGAUUUAAAAGUAUUAGAAAAGUAAAAUUCAUGCAUUUUUGUAUUGGGUGACUGAAAUAAUGGGUUUGCCUUACUGGGGCUGGGUUGUGAUUUCUGGGGGUGUUUGAAGAGGUUUGGUUACUUUAUCCACCCAAGACAUGGGUCUUUAACGCACUUUCUGACUUGCUGUGCCAUAGAUCAUUUGAGCUUCUCCAGUAGUGCUGCUUUGCUGGUAUAAAUGUGAUUAAUCCACAAAAGGGAAAUGUAAUCUAGUUAUUAACUGUUGGGCAUAUAUUUUGGGUUGAACUGAAGCAGGGAUAAUACUAGUUAUUAUUGACCAAUAAAUGUUUAAAGAAUAUAUGGUGAAAUAUCACUCUGGUAGCCUUGAUAGGACAUACUUUGAAGAUAAGAGACCAACCAAAAAAAGGUGUAGAUUCCAAGUUCAUCUAGGAUGCCUGGAUUUAGUCCUAGACCGUUAGAACAACACUGAGGUACUUUCUUAAAUCAAGAGGAAGUAGUGGAAAAACUGACUAAUUUAUAAGAUGCAAUGACAUCAGGUGUAGCCAACAGUCCCCAAAGUUGGAAAAGAACUAGGGCCCUUGAGAGAGUUUGUGUAUCGUUUUGGCACUUUUUUUUCUUCAUUUAUUAAUGCUAUUACAGUGCUUGAUUCGCUUUUUCUGUGGUCUAUAAAAAUGUCUGACCUAAGCCCACUUUAUAUGGGAGGGAAUUGGUCUUCUGAGGGAGGCUACUCUGCUGCCAUUAAAUAAUUUAAAGAAAAUUAUCGCCCCUGUUACUUUGGGUUUAAUUUUUAUUUUUCCUCGCACCUGCGGUUUUCUUUGCCCAUGUAACUAGUCUUAUUUUGUGAUUACUAUGGUACAGUGCCUGAUACAUUCUUAAUAAAUGUGACUAAUGCUGAUAAAUAC
ensembl:lncRNA